UAUUGUAGAAAUUUUCAGGAUC
rnacentral:miRNA from 1 species